UGGUGCCCAAAGGGAAAUAUAUUUCCGACACUUUGAUAUAAGGGAAUCUGGAUGUUUAUGCGUGGUGUGAAAGCUAAUUUAUUAGAAUCCUAAACACAUAACAGGAUACCCACCUGUUAACACAGGGAAUAAUAUCAACCCUUUGGGUUUUUA
rfam:Erysipelothrix rhusiopathiae str. Fujisawa DNA, complete genome.